UACAGAGGGUGCAAGCGUUGUUCGGAAUUAUUGGGCGUAAAGGGCGCGUAGGCGGUGCGGUAAGUCUGUAGUGAAAUCUCUGGGCUCAACUCAGAGUCUGCUGCAGAAACUGCCGUGCUUGAGUGUGGGAGAGGUGAGUGGAAUUCCCGGUGUAGCGGUGAAAUGCGUAGAUAUCGGAAGGAACACCUGUGGCGAAAGCGGCUCACUGGACCAUUACUGACGCUGAUGCACGAAAGCCAGGGGAGCGAACGGG
rnacentral:rRNA from 1 species